rnacentral:snoRNA from 1 species
GAUCAAUGAUGAAAACAGCCAAAUCUGAGCAUCAGAAGACUUUCUGAGUGCAGAAAAUCUGCCUGAUGCAUGAUCUCCACUGUUUUGAGA